AGUCAUAGUCCAUGGCUGUUUGUGUGUUUGUAAAUUCUUCAUUUAUUCUGCACUCUGGGUGGACACUCGGGUGGCAGGUAGCCUAGUGGUUAGAGUGUAGAGGUGGCAGGUAGCCUAGUGGUUAGAGGUGGCAGGUAGCCUAGUGGUUAGAGGUGGCAGGUAGCCUAGUGGUUAGAGGUGGCAGGUAGCCUAGUGGUUAGAGGUGGCAGGUAGCCUAGUGGUUAGAGGUGGCAGGUAGCCUAGUGGUUAGAGGUGGCAGGUAGCCUAGUGGUUAGAGGUGGCAGGUAGCCUAGUGGUUAGAGGUGGCAGGUAGCCUAGUGGUUAGAGGUGGCAGGUAGCCUAGUGGUUAGAGGUGGCAGGUAGCCUAGUGGUUAGAGGUGGCAGGUAGCCUAGUGGUUAGAGGUGGCAGGUAGCCUAGUGGUUAGAGUGGUGGCAGGUAGCCUAGUGGUUAGAGGUGGCAGGUAGCCUAGUGGUUAGAGGUGGCAGGUAGCCUAGUGGUUAGAGGUGGCAGGUAGCCUAGUGGUUAGAGGUAGCCUAGUGGUUAGAGGUGGCAGGUAGCCUAGUGGUUAGAGGUGGCAGGUAGCCUAGUGGUUAGAGGUGGCAGGUAGCCUAGUGGUUAAAGCGUUGGACUUGUAACUGAAAGGUUGCAAGAUCGAAUCCAUGAGCUGACAAGGUAAAACAUAUGUUGUUCUGCUCCUGAACAAGGCAGUUAACCCACCUGUUCCUAGGCAGUUAUUGAAAAUAAGAAUGUGUUCUUAACUAACUUGCCUAGUUAAAUAAAUGUUUAAAAAAAACACUCAGACGAGUACUCUGAAA